CAUAACAUUAUAUGGCGGAGAUAUAACAAAGAUAAAGGUGUAGUGUAAGGCCCUUGGGUGCAGGGGGGUGGCAACUCUAAUAGGCCAUUAUGUACCCAGAUACUAUUUUUAAUCUGCACAACAGAUAGCGCUAGUAGAUUGACCUAGUUCUUUUGUAAAUUCAUAGGUAGCGUUAGUGUUCAUAAUCAAAUGUCAAUUGAAUGUUUAUAAGAAACUAAAUUUAUGCAAUAAAUACUAAUAAUGCAAUAAAUAUAGUGUAAUAUUAAUUUAUUUUGAUUUCAAAAACAGUUGAUUUGUAAAAAUUGUUUUUUUUUUGCAGUAAUAUUCGUUUACAGAUUGAUUUGAGCAUUAUAGUCGCUCUUUUUUUUUUCGGUUUGUAGUAGAUUUUGGUCGAGUGAAAGAUGGAUUUUACAAUGGAGUUUGAUUUAUCAUUUUGAAUUAUUUUCCUAUAUGAUUGUGAAUUAAGAAGCCGAUGAAGAUGCCUGUGAAUACACAUCAAUGUUUUGUGUCUUCGUGCAGGAACAGUAUUACUGUUAAUCCUGAUGUGACAACAUUCAGAUUUCCAUGAAGCCGAAGCAAGUUAUUGAAGUGGAUUGCUGCAAUUGGCUAUGACCUUGAUGCCAGUAAUGCUGAAACAUUUAAAACUAAAUAUGUAUGUUCCGAACAUUUUGAUAUUGGAGCUUUCACUACAUGUGACUGCAUCAAAUUGAAUCGUGGUGCUGCUACAACAUAUUUUAAUUCUGUGGACAGUGAAGUAUGGAUCUAUUGUUAUAAUUUAUUAUGUCUAGAAUGCUGCCAAAUAUAGGUGAAAUGUUUAUGUUACAUAACAUAACUUGUAAGAUCUACUUGUGCAGAUAUAUAUUUUCACCUGCCUCUAAGGUCCUUUGUUAUUCACAGGUAGCAUUUACAUGUGAUGAAGCAGUAUUUAACAUUAUUGGUCAACAUGCAGUCCAUUAUUACAACCUUUGUACAGGCGCAUACAAACAUAUAUGUGUGGGGUAUUUCACACUUUUUAUUUGAUGUUAAAGAUUGGUAUGGUGACCGGGAUACUUUUUUUUAUUAAACCUCCUACACAGUUCUCUACUGUUUCCCUUAUCUGUUGCCUUAACAUUUUUUUCCGAUCAGUCCAAUUCCUUGAAUCACAUUGCAAAAAAAUUCACAAUACAUGGGAUUGGGCCACUCUCUUCAAAGAAUUGUAAUUCGAGUUUAAACAUAGCAAGGCUGACCAUAAAUUGUAGAGGAAAAUUUAAAAUGUUGAUCUUCAACAUAUUUAUAACCUAUGAUCAUGUGAUGUAUAUACAGCUAGUUAGAAAGUAAGUUGUAGUAUAGUAUGCAAUUGAACCUUCAAUAAGUUCUACAUCCACACUUAAAAACUUAUUUUACUUGAUGUUUUAUGUUCAAUAACUAUUCAGUAUAAAGGUUUUUUUUUACAUUAUAAACUACAAAAGUAUUCCGAUUUGUAAAUGUAAUGAAAUUCCACUGAGCCCUCUACCUUUUUUUUAACUACCAUUUCUGCCGUGUGGCCUUUUUUUUCUUACUUUUGUGUUCAUUAUAAGUUACAACCACUCAUUUGAUUUAUUGUGUUAAAUUAAAUGAUAUUUAAAAUUGGAUGUCACUUCAUAAGAACAUUCAGGAUUACCUGUAUUCACAGCGCACAAUUAUACAAAAGUUUUUUAUGUAUGUAAAAGUGUUUUACGUAAGCCAGUGGACACAUACAUGUAUUGAGUAACAUGAGAAAAUUGAAAUAUCUAAAAUAAAAUUAAAAGGUUACAAGCUUUUAUAUACAUGCAGCUCCCAAAAAAGUCUGCAUACUAAAAAAUAACACAUGCUUUUAAAUGAAUUCUUACCAUCUUAUAAACUAGUAGUAUUUUGUUAUUUGAUUCCAAAUGAAUUGUUUUUGGUUAAUUUAUUUGACUGUAGGGAUUAAAUAUCAUUUGUAGAAUAAAGUGUGAAAAGUAGUAUUGAUCAAUUUAACUGUAAGUACUAAAUAUGUGUUACAUUUCUUGUAAGUUAAAAUUGUUCAGGUAUUAUAAAUUAGCUGAAAAAAGCAAACUCAUGACUAGAAUAAAUUGUACUGUUAGGUAUGUUUCGAAGAAAGACUACCUGUUGCAGUCGUUACCAUGUGUAUGUACCACAUUUUUAUUGUCAUUAUAACUGCCAUAAUUUUGUACAAAUAAAUCACUUAAUACAUAAAAUAUGGUUAUGGAAAUUCUCAGUUGAGUUUGUUAAUGGAUAUAGGCCAACAAAAGGGGUAUAAAUGGGGAAGAUUUUUUGAAAAACAUUUAAAUCACUUCAACUCCCAUAACAUGAAACAUAUCACAUCUGUUUGAACAUAUUAUAACUUAAAGGAGUAUUACCAAAAAUUUUGUCUACAUACUUGAAUAUGACCAGCCAUAACUGUUAAGGGGUGGGAAAAAACAAGGGUUUGAGGACAAAAAACUCCUAACUAUCUUAGUAGGCACACCAUAGAAUCUGUUCAAAUUUGUUGUCAAUUUUAAAAAAUUUUAUAACCACCUGAUAACCACCAAGGGUGCUGUGGGUAAAAUAAUGAGGGGUUAAUGGACAAACAAAUAUUCUUAAUUACUCUAUUAAGUUAACUAUAAAAUCUAUAACAAUUAUUGCAAUUCUUCUAAAACUUGUAUAAAACUUUGAUCUGAAACAAUUUUUUUAGGAUUAACCAGUGCUGCAAGAAGUUGAAAAUACCAGUGGGUGGAAAUUUAAAAAAAUAAUAAUAAAACUUCUGUACAGUGUACACUAUCGCAUCCAUUCUUAUUUAUUUAAAACUUUCUAAAUAUCUUUUGAAACUUUAAUGUAACCAAACAUUACUGCAAUGAGUGAAAAUAAUAUAUUCAGAGACAAAAAAUGAUAACUUUAAUUAUUGCACUUGCUCUCUGUAUGCUGACUGCAUUGCUAAAAUGCACAUAGACCUCCAAUUAAAUUAAUAAAAUAAAGUAUUCUGCAAAAUGUUGAUAGCGAAACAAUUAAAAUUGUGCCAAUCUCACCUGUGUACAUGAAAAUCUAUAUUAUGCUUCAAAUAGGCUAUUUUAUAAACCAGAAAAUGAAAUUACCUA